ACCGUAUAGGGGAGCCGCAGGGAAACCGAGUCUUAACUGGGCGUUAAGUUGCAGGGUAUAGACCCGAAACCCGGUGAUCUAGCCAUGGGCAGGUUGAAGGUUGGGUAACACGCACUGGAGGACCGAACCGACUAAUGUUGAAAAAUUAGCGGAUGACUUGUGGCUGGGGGUGAAAGGCCAAUCAAACCGGGAGAUAGCUGGUUCUCCCCGAAAGCUAUUUAGGUAGCGCCUCGUGAACUCAUCUUCGGGGGUAGAGCACUGUUUCGGCU
rnacentral:rRNA from 1 species